GGUGGACGCGAGCUGGUCUUAGGUGGCACGUGGAUGAACAUUUAUAUUUUGAGUUAUGGGUUUAUUUAAUGUGUAUUACAAAAAAUAAAACUAGCCCAUCAAACCCUCUGUGCCAUGGGCUUUUUUGCAUAGAACAUGUCUUUGCAGAAUAAACUAACGUGAAUUUGAAGUCAAUUUUAUUUUUAAAAGUUAGAUUAAAUAAUAGCACAAGUGGUAGAAGGAACGCAUAAAGGUGCUACACAAAUAACUGAGGUUUAGGGCACCCUGGUGGCAGAUGGUGGCUUUGAACCCACACUGGUGGGUUCAAAGCCCAACCCUGCUGCUAACCAACAACGUAACCUUGAAUGAAUUACUUAACCACCUGGGACCUUGACUUCUUCUUGCAUAAAGUUAUUAUGCCUAUUUCACAGCUUCGGAUGUCUAUAAUGAACCUGAUAGGUGCAAAUCAUUAUUAUUUUAUAUCAUUACAUUGUAUCCCCCCAGCCCUGUAACAGAAAGUUGGAAAACUAUAGCAUUGCAGGGUGGGGGUGCGGCUGGCGGUGCUCAAAGCCCCAAGUUGCAAGUCUGCCAUGAAAAGAUGAAAACAGAUAAGGGAACAAGAAAAUGGCUUUGUUUAUCAGCCCAAGGAGCGUCUGGGGGCUCCCUGAUGAGAAGGGAGACAGCUGGACAGUGGAGGACCAGGACUCCCAAGCACCAGCUGUCCUGAGUGGCCCAGGCCCCACCUGCCUCACUGGGCUGCAGCCCACACACACCGCUUCCCACAAAUGGCAUGCCAGAGCCAUGACGCAGAGAAACGCUAAUCCCAGGUGGGUCUCUGCUCCACAGGGGCUCCAGAUCACAGAUGGCAGACUAGCUCUGCAGCUCAGAGGGACCCGAAAGAGGAACGGGCUGGGUCUCCUGCAGAGCUGGCAGCCUGGGGAGGCACGGGCAAGGUCUCUGAAACUAUAAAAGCCUCUGGCAAGGAGAGAGGAUUUGGUCCCUGCCUGAUUCAUUUGGGCAAGAGACCCCUCAAAAUUAACUGCCCAUAAGAACAGGCACACGUAGGGUGGUGCAUCCAUGCAAUGGAAUGCUGCUACUUAGCAACAAAAAGGAAUGCAAUAACUCAGAUGAAUCUCAAGUGCAUAAUGCUAGGUGGAAGAUGGUAGAGUCAAAAAGCUACAUAAUGUAUGAUUAUAGCUAUCACAUCCUAGGAAAAGCAAAACUAUAGGGCCGGGAAAUGUAUCAGCGAAUUGCCAGGGGUUAAGGGUUUGUACAGGGAGACACCACUUCAUACCAGGAGCAGGCAAGGAGGGGGUAGAUAAAGGGAAUGGAGAGUGACUGCUCAAGGAUACAGGGGUUUCUUUUGGGGCUGAUCAAAGUGUCCCAAGACUGACUGUGGUAAUGUUUGAAUAUCCCAAAAACUAUUGAAUUACACACCUUAAAUAGGUGAAUUGUACAGUAUCUGAAUUAUAUCUUGAGAAAGCUAUUGCAAAGCUAAGAGAUAAUAAUUUAUCACAAGGAAAAAAGAGUAUGAGAAGGCUUAACUCUCAAAGGGGUUGGACAUAGGAAUUUGGGAGAGGAAGUGGAACUAUUCUGUAUCUUGUUUGUGGUGUUGGUUACAUGGCUCUAUCAUUUGUUAAAACUUUCUUAGAACUAUACAACAAAGAUGCCAAAAAAAAUUGGCCUAUCCUAAACAAUAUUAAAAAUGGUUACCAAAGUAUAAAAUUGGUCUACCAAAGUAUAAACCAUGCCAAUCAUUUUAUAUGCCUUGAAUUAUGCAAUCCUGAAAGUAAACCACUUAGGUAUUACCAUCCCGUGUUACAGAAGGGCAGACUGAGGCUCAGAGAGGUUAUGUGAUUGGCCCAGGAUCACGGAUAGGAAAUGCUUUCAAAACCAGACGUUGAGCACAGUUCUGUCUGACACCAGCUGCCAUGUCACUGUCUGAUGCUUCCCUACACAGGUGAUAAUCUCGAACAUUCCUGGAGCACACCUCAGGCGGUCUUUGAUGGUCACUAUCAACUCAUUACUGCACCAUUGAAAACUCAUUUUAAGGAAAACAUGAUGAGUGAUUAAGAUCCAUAACAGAGGCCCUGCGAACAGAAUACAUAAGGACUUUUGACUAUGGCAGUCCCUUCAACGGAAAACCUUUGGCAAAGUGAAAGCAAAAGAAGAUGUUAAAUGCACUGGGGACCUGUUAAUUUGAUUCUGCAUUUAGCACACCUGAUCUUCCCAGUAAUUGCUUUCGUUGGCUCAGCCGCACGCUAGCGGGCACCUCCACAAGCUGGCAGAUGAGCAUUUAUUUUAUUGUGAGAUGUACAGCAAGCCCGGAGAUGCUACAGCCAGAUCAUAAAUUAAUCUCCAAGCUGCUGUCGACAACACAGGUCCUCGUCCCACAGCGCUUCCCAGCAGUGGUCGGGUCUAGAGGACACAGUGCAUCACACUGGACGAGAGAUGGGCUGAGAAUCCAGAAACGGGGGUCACUGCUUCCAGCACUGCUGUGUGACACUGCACAAGGCAGCAUCCCACUCUGGGCCUCAGUUUCCCCAUGUGCAAAAACGUAAGAGCUAAGCCAGAUGCUUCCUUCGGCUGAGGCAGAGUAUGGUAAGAGGAAGGUAGAAUUUGAAGUCUCUUGGGUUUGAAUUCUCUGUUUUCUUAAUUUCUCUGCUAUUUAUUAUCUUAGCAACUCUGGGCAAGAGACUUAAUGUCUGGCAGCCUCAAAUUCUUCUUGGGUGAGAUGGGGCUGAUAACAAUACCUAACCAGCCUUCCCACAUUUCCCCGCCCUUUCUAGGCUGCUCUCUGAACUGCAGCCAACAUGAGCUUCUUAGAACACAAAUCUGAUCAUCAUAGCGUCUCCCUCCUUAAAAGCUUUCAAUGGCUCCCGAGUGCCCUCCGGAAAAGACAGACUUUUUAAUCUGGCAGAUUAGCCUCAUCUACC